GGCCACAUCUGCCAGAGCCUGGAGUCUGCGAAGGCCGGGACCCGGUUCCCCGGCCCACCGUGGGGGGGGGUGUGCAAACCCGAGAGAACUGGGUAAGUUGGGGUCGGCUUGCAGUUUGGGGUACCCCGAGGGCGGUGUACGUCGGUAAGAUUGUAACAGUAUUACUGGAAGAUUUAUUCGACUGUCCUGAUGAUACUUGUAAUAGGAAGUGCCGUCAGAAGCGAUAACUGACGACGUCUAAUGUCUAUCUGACCGCAGUCGCUGAAACCUCUACAACUUAGUUGACCGUAACUGCCAGAGCCCUGCCCUGAAUUCCUGUCCUUACUCCCUCUUUAAGAUUGCGUACCCACUGCAGAGUGCUGAAGACGGGGUAGCCACGAGGUUGCAAAUUCGUGAAGAAUCAGCAUCAUGUUUGGCAGCUGAGUAUUGGAGCCAGGAGCCUGCCAUGAGGUUUUGAGAACAGAGUGCUGUUUUAGAGCUGGCAGCAGCAUCUCAGCCCAAGAGAAGGUUAUAUUCCCAGAGGAUGUCAGUCCCAAGGACCAGUAGCUGCCAUCAGUUUGGAUUCUGAAAACUAACCGGCAUCAACACUGGGUGUAGAAACAUGCUUGCCUUAUGUAUCAGAGGACAUGCUCAGCAGAUCCAAGAGAUAUAUUUGGCAACUUUUUCUAGAAAAGGCACAUUGGGUAUCAUUCAUUACAUUCUUGAGUUUUUUUGGUUUUUUUUUUUUUUUUUUUUUGAGACAGUCUUGCUGUAUUGCCCAGGCUGGAGUGUGGUGGCACAAUCACAGCUCAUUGCAUCCUCAAUCACCCAGGCCUAAGCAAUCCUCCCACCUUGUAGCUGGGACUAUAGCUCACAGCACACCUGGCUAAAAUUUUUUUUUUGUUAAGACGGAUUCUCUAUGUUGCCCAGGCUGGUCUCAGGCUCCUGGGCUCAGAUGGUCCUCCUGCCUCAGCUUCCAAAGGCACAGGCCAAGUU
rnacentral:antisense_RNA from 1 species